GACGAACGCUGGCGGCGCGCUUAACACAUGCAAGUCGAGCGAGAACCAUGGCUUCGGCCAUGGGGACAGCGGCGAACGGGUGAGUAACACGUGGGUAAUCUGCCCUCGGCACUGGGAUAGCCCGGGGAAACCCGGAUUAAUACCGGAUAGCCUUUCGAGCUCUUGGGCUCGUCAGAAAAGGUAGCUUCGGCCUCCGGCCGAGGAGGAGCCCGCGGCGGAUUAGCUUGUUGGUGAGGGAAAGGCUCACCAAGGCGACGAUCCGUAGCGGGUGUGAGAGCAUGACCAGCCACACUGGGACUGAGACACGGCCCAGACUCCUACGGGAGGCAGCAGUGGGGAAUCUUGCGCAAUGGGCGAAAGCCUGACGCAGCGACGCCGCGUGCGGGAAGAAGGCCUUCGGGUUGUAAACCGCUUUCAGGAGGGACGAAGCCACUCGGGUGAAUAGCCCAGAGGGUGACGGUACCUCCAGAAGAAGCCCCGGCUAACUACGUGCCAGCCGCCGCAGUAAUAC
rnacentral:rRNA from 1 species